rnacentral:piRNA from 1 species
UAAAAAGCCUCCAGACUGAAAUGGUACUCA